rnacentral:rRNA from 1 species
GGGCCCGCACAAGCGGUGGAGCAUGUGGUUCAAUUCGAUGCAGAGCGAAGAACCUUACCUGGGCUUGACAUGCAGGAAGUAGAAACCCGAAAGGGGGACGACCUGUUAAGUCAGGAGCCUGCACAGGUGGUGCAUGGCUGUCGUCAGCUCGUGCCGUGAGGUGUUGGGUUAAGUCCCGCAACGAGCGCAACCCUCACCCUAUGUUGCCAUCGGGUAAUGCCGGGCACUCUUAGGGAACUGCCGGCGAAGAGCUGGAGGAAGGGGGGGAUGACGUCAAGUCCGUAUGCCCCUUAUGUCCAGGGCUACACACAUGCUACAAUGGCCGGUACAGAGGGUUCCCAACCCGCGAGGGGGAGGCAAUCCCACAAAGCCGGUCUCAGUUCGGAUUGCAGGCUGCAACUCGCCUGCAUGAAGUCGGAAUCGCUAGUAAGCGCAGAUCAGCAGGCUGCGCUGAAUACGUUCCCGGGCCUU